rnacentral:lncRNA from 1 species
AGUGUUCGGGGCCGUUUUGGCGGCUAUGCAGGAUUGGCAGGAGCUGCGAUGCUCACACUUGCCUCGCCGACCGCCAUUUCACAUCCAGCAGAGGAGGCGGGGGCAGCCGCUGAGACGGUUUUUCACAAGGUGCAUUUUAGUGGUUACCAGGUUGCCACGUAUUUGAAGUGGUGUGAGAGCUACUCGUUUGGAACCGUUGUGGAUUUUCAAAUAGGAAAAUCAAAAGGCCCAAAGAGACAGCUCACUGGAAAUGACCUCAUUCUUGAUGGCUGCUGCUAACUUAUGGUGAGAUGCUGGGUCCCUGCCCAAUACCACAUGGACAUCCAAUCAAUUUACCCAGGGACAAGUCCACUCAAGAGCAUCAUUUAGAAGAGGGAAAAGGCACUGGGGUUAUUUGUUUUUGGAGUAUGUGCUUAAGGAAAUCUAGAGUAUUCCCACGAGCAUUCUGCUGAGAUGAACAAUCAGAUGACCUCGUGUGAGAUUUGGAGGAGAGAAGGAAAUGGAGAGCAUGCGUCUGCCGCUUCUGUGGUUUCUGUCGGUAAGCACAGUGAUGAGGUGCUGAGUUUUCCCCAGAAGGCCUCCCAGUGUCCUAUUACCAGCUUCACAAGCGUCGAGGGCAGGGCAUGGGCAUCUAUUGUUCACCAGUGGAGAUCUAUCUGGCACAGAACCGAUCCAACCAUUGCAGUGGUCACAGCGGUGUUGGCUUUCUGAUUCUCAACCUUCCUGACCGCCAGAGGAGACAGCCUCUUUGGUGGCCCUGUUCUGUGGUAUUGUGCUAACCGGUGGUGGGACUAAAACUGUCUCUAUAA